GAAAAAGUAAGCAAGAACUGCUAACUCUAUGCAUCCAUGCCUAACAACAUGGCUUUUUCA
rnacentral:tRNA from 1 species